AUAUCAAUAAGCGGAGGAGAAGAAACUUACGAGGAUUCCCUUAGUAACGGCGAGCGAACCGGGAAUAGCCCAGCUUGAGAAUCGGUUGGCUGCGCCUUCCGAAUUGUAGUCUGUAGAAUUUGUCUUUGAUUAGGUCCUUGUCUAUGUUCCUUGGAACAGGACGUCAUAGAGGGUGAGAAUCCCGUUUGGCGAGGAUACCUUUUCUCUGUAAGACUUUUUCGAAGAGUCGAGUUGUUUGGGAAUGCAGCUCAAAGUGGGUGGUAAAUUCCAUCUAAAGCUAAAUAUUGGCGAGAGACCGAUAGCGAACAAGUACCGUGAGG
rnacentral:rRNA from 1 species